GAUGAACGCUGGCGGCGUGCCUAAUACAUGCAAGUCGAGCGAACAGACGAGGAGCUUGCUCCUCUGACGUUAGCGGCGGACGGGUGAGUAACACGUGGAUAACCUACCUAUAAGACUGGGAUAACUUCGGGAAACCGGAGCUAAUACCGGAUAAUAUAUUGAACCGCAUGGUUCAAUAGUGAAAGACGGUUUUGCUGUCACUUAUAGAUGGAUCCGCGCCGCAUUAGCUAGUUGGUAAGGUAACGGCUUACCAAGGCAACGAUGCGUAGCCGACCUGAGAGGGUGAUCGGCCACACUGGAACUUAGACACGGUCCAUACUCCUACGGUAGGCAGCAGUAGGGAAUCUUCCGCAAUGGGCGAAAGCCUUACGGAACAACGCCGCGUGAGUUAUGAAGGUCUUCGGAUCGUAAAACUCUGUUAUUAGUUAAGAACAAAUUUGUAAGUAACUAUGCACGUCUUGACGGUACCUAAUCAGAAAGCCACGGCUAACUACGUG
rnacentral:rRNA from 1 species